CAGCCGCCGCGGUAAUACCGGCGGCCCGAGUGGCGGUCACUAUUAUUUGGCUUAAAGCGUCCGUAGCCGGGUUGGGAAGUCCUCCGGGAAAUCUGGCCGCUUAACGGUCAGAAUGCCGGAGGAUACUCCCAGCCUAGGGAGCGGGAGAGGCCGAGGGUAUUCCCGGAGUAGGGGUGAAAUCCUAUAAUCCCGGGAGGACCACCUGUGGCGAAGGCGCUCGGCUGGAACGCGUCCGACGGUGAGGGACGAAGGCCAGGGGAGCAAACCGGAUUAGAUACCCGGGUAGUCCUGGCUGUAAACGAUGCGGACUUUGUGUCGGACAAGCUAUGAGCUUGUCCGGUGCCGGAGGGAAACCGUUAAGUCCGCCGCCUGGGGAGUACGGCCGCAAGGCUGAAACUUAAAGGAAUUGGCGGG
rnacentral:rRNA from 1 species